rnacentral:pre_miRNA from 15 species
GGCCUUCCUCCCCAACAAUAUCCUGAUGCUGAGUGAGCGGCACAUGGAGACUCCAGCAUCAGUGAUUUUGUUGAAGAGGGUG